GACAACGUCAAAUCCUGGCAACAGGAACUCUCAUUCAUUGCCUGUGAGAAUGCGAAACGGCACAUCCACUGUGGAAGACAGAGGAGAUUUUCAAUGAUCUUUGUAAAUGUGUAAACACACCUGGAUUGGCUGGAUGUCAUGAGGUAUGAUUAACGUGCAGUAGCAGCAAUUUGCAAACAUGGAAGAGAGACAGUACAGGGAUUGCUCAGUCUUCAAAAGACUAACCAUAUCUAAAACCUUUAAGGAAAGACAAGGGACAUAGUAUUUGCAAAGAAUAUCUGAUAAAAACAAUGGCAUUUCUCACAGAAUAUUGGGCAUAUCCCACAAAUGGGUAGCUUUUUCAGCCUGGAUUUCAGAAAGAGAAGACAUAAGAAACUGAGACCAUGAAAACCAAGUAAAACUGAACAGAUUCAAAAGAAUAAGCAAAACUGAUGUAUGGCCCACAUUCACCAACGUUAAACAAAAAAUAAAACUUGUGGUUUUAAGCCA